rnacentral:rRNA from 1 species
AUUGAACGCUGGCGGCAGACCUAACACAUGCAAGUCGAACGGUAACAGGAAGCAGCUUGCUGCUUCGCUGACGAGUGGCGGACGGGUGAGUGAUGUCUGGGAAGCUGCCUGAUGGAGGGGGAUAACUCCUGGAAACGGUAGCUAAUACCGCAUAAUGUCGCAAGGCCAAAGGGGGGGAGCUUCGGGCCUCUUGCCAUCGGAUGUGCCCAGAUGGGAUUAGCUAGUUGGUGGGGUAAAGGCUCACCAAGGCGACGAUCCCUAGCUGGUCUGAGAGGAUGACCAGCCACACUGGAACUGAGACACGGUCCAGACUCCUACGGGAGGCAGCAGUGGGGAAUAUUGGACAAUGGGCGCAAGCCUGAUGCAGCCAUGCCGCGUGUAUGAAGAAGGCCUUCGGGUUGUAAAGUACUUUUAGUGGGGAGGAAAGGAGUAAAGUUAAUACCCCUGCUCAUUGACGGUACCCGAAGAAGAAGCACCGGCUAACUCCGUG